rnacentral:rRNA from 1 species
CAGAUUGAACGCUGGCGGCAUGCCUUACACAUGCAAGUCGAACGGUAACAGGUCUUCGGAUGCUGACGAGUGGCGAACGGGUGAGUAAUACAUCGGAACGUGCCCGAUCGUGGGGGAUAACGGAGCGAAAGCUUUGCUAAUACCGCAUACGAUCUACGGAUGAAAGCAGGGGACCGCAAGGCCUUGCGCGGACGGAGCGGCCGAUGGCAGAUUAGGUAGUUGGUGGGAUAAAAGCUUACCAAGCCGACGAUCUGUAGCUGGUCUGAGAGGACGACCAGCCACACUGGGACUGAGACACGGCCCAGACUCCUACGGGAGGCAGCAGUGGGGAAUUUUGGACAAUGGGCGAAAGCCUGAUCCAGCCAUGCCGCGUGCAGGAUGAAGGCCUUCGGGUUGUAAACUGCUUUUGUACGGAACGAAAAGACUCCUUCUAAUAAAGGGGGUCCAUGACGGUACCGUAAGAAUAAGCACCGGCUAACUACGUGCCAGCAGCCGCGGUAAUACGUAGGGUGCAAGCGUUAAUCGGAAUUACUGGGCGUAAAGCGUGCGCAGGCGGUUAUAUAAGACAGAUGUGAAAUCCCCGGGCUCAACCUGGGAACUGCAUUUGUGACUGUAUAGCUAGAGUACGGUAGAGGGGGAUGGAAUUCCGCGUGUAGCAGUGAAAUGCGUAGAUAUGCGGAGGAACACCGAUGG